CAACUCUCCAUGGUUUCAGACAGAGAAAUUCUUGCUUCUUCCAUCGUGGUUAACCUUGGCACACAGGUCCCAUUCAAACCAGGAUGACAUACAAGCACCAUUCCCUAGCAUAUUGAGUCCUAUCCAAUGACCCAUUCUCAACUUCCUUGUAGUGUGACUCAGCGAUGAACAUCGCCUAAGGGCUAAACUACUACCUGGGAUCAAGUCAUCCAUGAGCUUACCUGACCCCACCAUCAGUGGAGAACAUGUACGUGGAAGACUGAAAUCUCUUCCCCCCACAGUAGUGCUUAUUAGCCAUAGACCUUGCUGGGCUACCCACAUUCUGGCAUUGUUGUAGAAUGACAUUUUAAAUUA